rnacentral:rRNA from 1 species
GAUCCUGGCUCAGGAUGAACGCUAGCUACAGGCUUAACACAUGCAAGUCGAGGGGCAGCGGGAUUGAAGCUUGCUUCAAUUGCCGGCGACCGGCGCACGGGUGAGUAACGCGUAUCCAACCUUCCACAUACUCGGGAUAGCCUUCUGAAAAGGANAUUAAUACCCGAUGGUAUCAAGAGAUUGCAUGAUAACUUGAUUAAGAAUUUCGGUAUGCGAUGGGGAUGCGUUCCA